UAGGCUGGCCCCGUAGCUGGUUCGCCCUGCCCGCCAGGCACGGCGUCGUAAGAGGGAACCCGGUGACGCCUUUCGACUGGCCAGUCCGGGACUGCCCCGCAGCGGUGAGCGGGAACGACCGCCGUCAUACGCACUGGGCCCGAGCCGGGCCCGGGAAGCGACGGCCAGUAGGUGUCCGCCCUCGACGAGGGCGAGCGUGCCCGCGAGUCCGAAGACCUGCCCGCUGCCCGUCCGCGGA
rnacentral:ncRNA from 2 species